GUCCACGCCGUAAACGAUGAUAACUAGCUGUCGGGGUUCAUAGAACUUCGGUGGCGCAGCUAACGCAUUAAGUUAUCCGCCUGGGGAGUACGGCCGCAAGGUUAAAACUCAAAUGAAUUGACGGGGGCCUGCACAAGCGGUGGAGCAUGUGGUUUAAUUCGAAGCAACGCGCAGAACCUUACCAGCGUUUGACAUGCCUAGUAUAUUUUCCAGAGAUGGAUUAUUUCAGUUCGGCUGGCUAGUGCACAGGUGCUGCAUGGCUGUCGU
rnacentral:rRNA from 1 species